rnacentral:rRNA from 1 species
ACGAACGCUGGCGGCGUGCUUCACACAUGCAAGUCGAACGGAAAGGCCCUGCUUUUGUGGGGUGCUCGAGUGGCGAACGGGUGAGUAACACGUGAGUAACCUGCCCUUGACUUUGGGAUAACUUCAGGAAACUGGGGCUAAUACCGGAUAGGAGCUCCUGCUGCAUGGUGGGGGUUGGAAAGUUUCGGCGGUUGGGGAUGGACUCGCGGCUUAUCAGCUUGUUGGUGGGGUAGUGGCUUACCAAGGCUUUGACGGGUAGCCGGCCUGAGAGGGUGACCGGCCACAUUGGGACUGAGAUACGGCCCAGACUCCUACGGGAGGCAGCAGUGGGGAAUAUUGCACAAUGGGCGGAAGCCUGAUGCAGCAACGCCGCGUGCGGGAUGACGGCCUUCGGGUUGUAAACCGCUUUCGCCUGUGGCGAAGCGUGAGUGACGGUAAUGGGUAAAGAAGCACCGGCUAACUACGUG